CUUUACUGUAAGCUGUUAUUGUCGCUUGAUUUUUAAUACGUAGAAUAGGUGGGAGACUUCGAAAAUCGGUUCCAGGAUCGGUUUGAGUCACAACGUGAAAUACCACUUUUUAAUUGUUAGGCGUCUAACCUCGAACCAUUAACUGGUCGUGGGACAGUGAUAGCAGGUCAGUUUUUCUGGGGCGGAAUCCUCCCAAAAAGUAACGGAGGAUUACGAAGGUUCCCUCGGCCCGGUCGGUAAUCGGGCUAUAGAGCGCAUGAGUAUAAGGGAGCUUUACUGUGAGACCAACAAGUCGAGCAGUUGCGAAAGCAGGUUCAAGUGAUCCGGUGGUUGAAUGUGGAAUCGCCAUCGCUCAUAGGACAAAAGGUA
rnacentral:rRNA from 1 species